ACAUUAUUAAUUGUAAUUGUAUUAAUUGAGAUUGUUGGAAUUGGAUUUAUUGAAGAGCUAUUGUCAGAAGAGGCUAGUAGUGUCUGUUCCAAGAUUGUUGUGGAUUAAUGUGAUAUAGAUUCAUUGAGGUGGUAUACAAGGUCUUCAAAGAAUAAAGUUUUUUUUUUGGAGGAAGAGUGGGAGAGAAGAUUGUUGGUAGAUUUAUCGGUAUUCUCCAAUAAAAUUUACUACCUUUCAUCCAAAUUUAUAUAAAUAUGAUGUUUUUUUUUAUUGUUUUAGCCUUUGUAGUACAAUUGUGACAUUGUAGAUUCCACCAUGCUUCCAUUUCAA
rnacentral:lncRNA from 1 species